UUGCCCAUGAAACGAUGAGAUCCGGGGGUUGUUUCGCCAGGAGGCAGCUGCUGAAAACCACAGUCCUAAAGGCCAAGGAAACAUUAGCAGUCACGAGAGGAAAACGGAAGAUUUCCAUCCCAACGUGACUUAGAAUAGCUCGAUGUUGUGUUCCACCCCCGAGGGGCUGUCUUCCCUCCAAGAGACGGAGCCAGGACCGGCAGCCCCCAUCCUCAGCGGAGCCUGGGCGCGGUGAAAGCUGACAUGGACCCUCUCACUUACGACGUGCAGAGCGGGAAACCCACCCGGGCCCCCUCAGCGGAAAACCAACCAACAGGUACAGUGGAUGAACAGGAGGUGCGGAAGUGAACGACCGAGGGUCUUGUGAUAAAAUAAAAG